ensembl:snRNA U6 U6 spliceosomal RNA
GUGCUCACUUUGGUAGCACAUGUUCUAAAAUUGGAAUGAUACAGAGGUUAGUGUGAUCUCUGUACAAGGAUGACAUAGAUUCAUGAAGCGUUCCACAUUUUU